GAUGAACGCUAGCGGCAGGCCUAAUACAUGCAAGUCGAACGGUGUCUUCGGACAUAGUGGCGCACGGGUGCGUAACACGUAUGCAACCUACCUUACAUUGGGGGAUAGCCUUUCGAAAGGGAGAUUAAUACCGCAUAAGACAGUAGCUGGGCAUCCAGCAGCUGUUAAAGAUUUAUCGAUGUAAGCUGGGCAUGCGUCCAAUUAGCUAGUUGGUGAGGUAACGGCUCACCAAGGCAAUGAUUGGUAGGGGAACUGAGAGGUCAAUCCCCCACACUGGCACUGAGAUCAGGGCCAGACCCCUACGGGAGGCAGCAGUAGGGAAUAUUGGGCAAUGGACGCAAGUCUGACCCAGCCAUGCCGCGUGCAGGAUGAAGGCGUUAUGCGUUGUAAACUGCUUUUAUACAGGAAGAAACGACUCUUGCGAGAGGCAUUGACGGUACUGUAUGAAUAAGCACCGGCUAACUCCGUGCCAGCCGCCGCCGUAAUAC
rnacentral:rRNA from 1 species